UAUGCGGUGGUAGUAGGGACAGUAGGGAAUCGAAAUUGGCAUGGUGAUGUCAGAUUUGCGUAGUACCGGGGUGGUUUUCCCGAUAACAGGGUGGCAGAAUGACCUUUCUGUGAUUCCCACGCUGUCAGAACCGGUUGUGCGAAGCUUUUACGAGGCAAGAUCGGGUACAGAGCGCAGCUUUCAUCGAGGAUACAACUUUCACGUUGAAUCUUACGUUGAGCUGACCUCGCUGAAGACCAGCACCUGCCAAAGAAGUGGGCUCGUCUUCGUCAAGCCAUCAUGCUUCAGAAAGCAAAAAGAAGAAUGCGUCACUCUAUUGCAUCAUGAUUGCUUUCGACAAGACGAAGGGAAUUGCUGACGGUGUGUGUGACUGCCCUGCAGGGAAGGUUGCUUGCAACCACCUCGUAGGUGUGCUGACACUUGUGCUUCUGCAGUCGAAAAAAUUCUCCGAGGCACCUGAUGAACUUUCUUGCACGGAUCUGCCACAGCUGUGGAGGGUGCCCCGCGGGAACAAAAUCAGCGGCACUUCCAUUCAGUCAGUGGACUAGAGAAAAGUCAGAGAGGGCGGGGCAGUUACACCUAAACUUGCGAGACAAAGGGAGCGCCGUGCCUGUCCUCGAGAUAGCAGCGAGCAAGUGGCCUCAAAGCGGAGAUUUGUACAUGAUAUGUUUGCACUGGAACCAGGAAAUCAAUUUGCAAAGCCUCUUCUUUUAGCCUAUGACCAUAACUGCAAAGAGUCGAGAUUUGGAACAAUAUCAGAUCGGUCACCUUCAAGUUACCAACAGUCAGUUUUGCCGCACGGCUUUGAUGUCAGAGUGUCGGGCAUUUCAUCUGACCAAGUCUCCACCUGCACUGUCCCAGUACUGAACUUCUUCGAGGCCAACAAGGUGUGGGUUCCUCCCCUAGAGCUGAAUGGAAACGCCAUUGCGCAGGUAUGGUAUCUCUACCCAACCGCCUGCUGCUAAACGCUACAAGGGGGUGUUGCACAGCAUGGGCCAUGAUACUGUUGUAAGCAGCUGUGGUCUACUCGUUAACCCCUCCUUUCCGUGGCUCGGGGCGUCGCCAGAUCGAGUUGUGUAUGACCCAGUCGGGAAGUCCUAUGGCGUUGUAGAGAUAAAGUGCCCUUAUUCACUACGCGAACAUGAAGCAUGUAACCUUUCUGAGGCAGACUUUUGUUCUAUUCUGGACGAGAAUGGGCCACGGCUCAAACGAGGGCAUCAAUAUUACUGCCAGCUAAUUGGGCAGAUGGGCGUAUCAGGUAUAAGCUGGGGAGACUUUGUCGUGUAUGGGAAGAACUAUA